CCCACUCUGCGCUCUUACUGGUCACACGCGCAGGGACACCUGUUACAGGCGGCCACGUGAUUGGUCCGCAUUGCUGUCAAUCAUAACUGGGGCUGGUGGAGGUUAAUUUUGAUGACGUCAGCAGUCCCUGUCCACAACAGAGAGAACCCACACACACAGGAAGAGCCAGGAUCUGAACCAGAGCUCGAGCCAGGAUCUGAACCAGAGCUCGAGCCAGGAUCUGAACCAGAGCUCGAGCCAGGAUCUGAACCAGAUGUGUGGCAGCAAAAUUGACAUUUUUUAUUUAAAACUGAGGAGUGCAUUGCAGUGCAGACACAAAAUGCAUGAAACAGACCAUAUGUGCUUGUCAGUAAAAGUUUAUUUCAA